ACUUUGCACAAAUAUAUAUUUGAGACUGUCACUCCAGCUGUUAGAAGAUGAGCUUGCAAAAUGACAAAGGUAAGGCAACAAGUACCAGUUAUGUAGUGAGAUCAUCAUAUCAUGAGUAUGUAAAUCUUAGAGAGAUUGUAUGAUAUAAAUUUUUUUUUUUCUUUCAUUUAUAUGACAGAAUAUAGCCUAGAUUUAGCAGCAGUGAGAUUCUUGUUGAGUUGCAUAUACAGUAAUAGGAUGGUGUAUUCUAUAUAGCCAAAUACAGCAUAUAUUUUUUCAGUUGCAGAAAUUUGGUGUAAGAUUUUAUUUUAUUUUAUUGUUCAAAUUGAUAAUCCUUUGUUUGAGAAGGUUUAUUUGUUUUAUUUAUUUUUUCCUGAGAAUCUAGUUGUAAUAAUUAUACAUUAAUUUUGGUUACUUUGAACAGUUUUUUUCA